CCUACGGGAGGCAGCAGUAAGGAAUAUUGGUCAAUGGACGCAAGUCUGAACCAGCCAUGCCGCGUGAAGGAUGAAUGCCCUCUGGGUUGUAAACUUCUUUUAUAGGGGACGAAAAAGGGUCUUUUUAGAUCAACUGACGGUACCCUAGGAAUAAGCACCGGCUAACUCCGUGCCAGCAGCCGCGGUAAUACGGAGGGUGCAAGCGUUAUCCGGAUUUACUGGGUUUAAAGGGUGCGUAGGUGGGUUGGUAAGUCAGCGGUGAAAUCUUCGAGCUUAACUCGGAAACUGCCAUUGAUACUAUCAGCCUUGAAUAUCCUGGAGGUGAGCGGAAUAUGUCAUGUAGCGGUGAAAUGCUUAGAUAUGACAUAGAACACCAAUUGCGAAGGCAGCUCACUACGGGAUUAUUGACACUGAGGCACGAAAGCGUGGGGAUCAAACAGGAUUAGAUACCCUGGUAGUCCACGCCCUAAACCGAUGGAUACUCGACAUUUGCGAUAUACAGUAAGUGUCUGAGCGAAAGCAUUAAGUAUCCCACCUGGAAGUACGAUCGCAAGAUUGAAACUCAAAUGAAUUGACGGNGNGAGAGAGCGAGACGACGACGAGGGAGGAGG
rnacentral:rRNA from 1 species